GAGAAGGUGGGGAGUGACUGUCAGAUGCAGCCAGCAGGAUAUGUGCUUUGGCUAAACUGUCACUCUCCUACAUCCU
rnacentral:miRNA from 1 species